CCUACGGUAGGCAGCAGUGAGGAAUAUUGGACAAUGGACGCAAGUCUGAAGCAGCCAUGCCGCGUGCAGGAAGACGGCUCUAUGAGUUGUAAACUGCUUUUGUACGAGGGUAAACGCAGAUACGCGUAUCUGUCUGAAAGUAUCGUACGAAUAAGGAUCGGCUAACUCCGGGCCAGCAGCCGCGGUAAUACGGAGGAGUCAAGCGUUAUCCGGAUUUAUUGGGUUGAAAGGGUGCGUAGGCGGUCGGAGAAGUGAGAGGUGAAAUCCCGAGGCUCAACUUCGGAAUUGCCUCUGAUACUGUACGGCUAGAGAGUAGUUGCGGUAGGCGGAAUGUAUGGUGUAGCGGUGAAAUGCUUAGAGAUCAUACAGAACACCGAUUGCGAAGGCAGCUUACCAAGCUACUUCUGACGUUGAGGCACGAAAGCGUGGGGAGCAAACAGGAUUAGAUACCCUUGUAGUC
rnacentral:rRNA from 1 species